AAUGAACGCUGGCGGCGUGCCUAACACAUGCAAGUCGGAUGUGCCGCAAGGUGCAUGGCAGACGGGUGAGUAACGCGUAGGGAAUCUACCUUUUUGUGGGGAAUAACGCUCCGAAAGGAGUGGUAAUACCGCAUGAGACCGUGAGCUGGGAUGUUCACGGUGAAACCUGGGGACCGCAAGGCCUGGGGCAAAAAGAGGAUCCUGCGUCUGAUUAGCUAGUUGGCGGGGUAAUGGCCCACCAAGGCGACGAUCAGUAGCCGGCCUGAGAGGGUGAUCGGCCACACUGGAACUGAGACACGGUCCAGACUCCUACGGGAGGCAGCAGUGGGGAAUUUUGCGCAAUGGACGAAAGUCUGACGCAGCAACGCCGCGUGGGCGAUGAAGGUCUUCGGACUGUAAAACCCUGUCGUCAGGGACGAAGGUGGCAGUGUUAAUAGCGCUGUUACUUGACGGUACCUGGAGAGGAAGCCCCGGCUAACUCUGUG
rnacentral:rRNA from 1 species